UACGUAGGGUGCGAGCGUUGUCCGGAAUUAUUGGGCGUAAAGGGCUCGUAGGCGGUUUGUCGCGUCGGGAGUGAAAACCUUGGGCUUAACUCAGGGCUUGCUUUCGAUACGGGCAGACUAGAGGUAUGCAGGGGAGAACGGAAUUCCUGGUGUAGCGGUGAAAUGCGCAGAUAUCAGGAGGAACACCGGUGGCGAAGGCGGUUCUCUGGGCAUGAUCUGACGCUGAGGAGCGAAAGCAUGGGGAGCGAACAGG
rnacentral:rRNA from 1 species